AAAGACUUGACGGUACUUCACAUCAACCUAGAGGAGCCUGUCCAAUAACCGAUACCCCACGAUUAACCCUACCUGCCCUAGCCCUANCAGUCUAUAUACCGCCGUCGCCAGCUUACCUUAUGAAAGAAACAAAGUGAGCCCAACAACAACACAUUAACACGACAGGUCGAGGUGUAACUAAUGAGCAGGCCAAAGAUGGGCUACAUUUUCUUAAACAGAAAAUACGAAUNCAACUAUGAAAUUAGAAACCGAAGGCGGAUUUAGCAGUAAGCUAACAAUAAAAUACUUAGCUAAAACUAUAGCAAUGAAGUGCGUACACACCGCCCGUCAUCCCUG
rnacentral:rRNA from 1 species